rnacentral:rRNA from 1 species
UACAGAGGGUGCGAGCGUUAAUCGGAAUUACUGGGCGUAAAGCGCGCGUAGGCGGCUUUGCAAGUCGGGUGUGAAAUCCCCAGGCUUAACCUGGGAACUGCAUUCGAGACUGCAUUGCUAGAGUAUGGGAGAGGGAAGUGGAAUUUCCGGUGUAGCGGUGAAAUGCGUAGAUAUCUGGAGGAACACCGGUGGCGAAGGCGGCAUCCUGGACCAUGACUGACGCUGAGGAGCGAAAGCCAGGGGAGCAAACGGG